UCGGUUGAUCCUGCCGGAUCCGACUGCUAUCCGGGUAAGACUAAGCCAUGCAAGUUGAAUGGAAUGGCUACAUUCCAUAGCAUACUGCUCAGUAACAAGUGAUCAACUUACCCUUUAGUGGAGCAUAACCUCGGGAAACUGAGGCUAAUUCUCCAUAGUUGGACCAGCCUGGAAUGGUUGUCCAUCGAAAGAUAUUCUGAAAUGUCAGAUGUUUGCUAAAGGAUAGGAUCGCUCUCGAUUAUGGUUGUUGGUGAGGUAAUGGCUCACCAAGCCUAUGAUCGAUAAGGGCCGUGAGAGCGGGAGCCCUGAGAUGGACACUGAGACAAUGGUCCAGGCCUUACGAGGCGCAGCAGGCGCGAAACCUUUACCAUGCACGAAAGUGUGAUAAGGUUACCCGGAGUGCCCAGAGAAAAACUUUGGGCUGUUAUAGGUGUGUAGAUAACCCUAUGAGAAAGGAGAGGGCAAGGCUGGUGCCAGCCGCCGCGGUAAAACCAGCUCUUCAAGUGGUCGGGAUUUUUAUUGGGCUUAAAGUGUCCGUAGCCUGUUUGGUAAGUUCCUGGUUAAAUCUGGCAGCUUAACUGUCAGUUGGCUAGGAAUACUGCCUUACUAGAGGGUGGGAAAGGUUUGGGGUACUCCAGGGGUAGCGGUGAAAUGCGAUAAUCCUUGGGGGACCACCAGUGGCGAAGGCGCCAGACUGGAACACGCCUGACGGUGAGGGACGAAAGCCAGGGGAGCGAACGGGAUUAGAUACCCCGGUAGUCCUGGCUGUAAACGAUGCGUGCUAGGUGUUGGUAGGGCUAUGAGCUGUAUCAGUGCCGUAGGGAAACUGNUAAGCGCGCCGCCNGNNAGUACGUUCGCAANAAUGAAACUUAAAGGAAUUNG
rnacentral:rRNA from 1 species